rnacentral:rRNA from 1 species
AGUGAACGCUGGCGGUAGGCCUAACACAUGCAAGUCGAACGGCAGCACAGUAAGAGCUUGCUCUUACGGGUGGCGAGUGGCGGACGGGUGAGGAAUACAUCGGAAUCUACUUUUUCGUGGGGGAUAACGUAGGGAAACUUACGCUAAUACCGCAUACGACCUACGGGUGAAAGCAGGGGAUCUUCAGACCUUGCGCGAUUGAAUGAGCCGAUGUCGGAUUAGCUAGUUGGCGGGGUAAAGGCCCACCAAGGCGACGAUCCGUAGCUGGUCUGAGAGGAUGAUCAGCCACACUGGAACUGAGACACGGUCCAGACUCCUACGGGAGGCAGCAGUGGGGAAUAUUGGACAAUGGGCGCAAGCCUGAUCCAGCCAUACCGCGUGGGUGAAGAAGGCCUUCGGGUUGUAAAGCCCUUUUGUUGGGAAAGAAAGGCAGCAGGUUAAUACCCCGCUGUUCUGACGGUACCCAAAGAAUAAGCACCGGCUAACUUCGUG